rnacentral:tRNA from 1 species
AAUUACAACGUCAAGGACACAGGAUUCAUAACCCUGAGGUCGGCGGUUCAAGUCCGCCCAUUGACACCA